UACGUAGGGGGCAAGCGUUGUCCGGAAUUACUGGGCGUAAAGGGCGCGUAGGUGGCUUCUCAAGCGCGCGGUGAAAGCCCGGGGCUCAACCCCGGGUCGGCCGUGCGGACUGGGAGGCUCGAGCACUGUAGGGGCGGGUGGAAUUCCGGGUGUAGCGGUGGAAUGCGUAGAGAUCCGGAAGAACACCGGUGGCGAAGGCGGCCCGCUGGGCAGGAAGGCUCGCAAGAGCCGGCUGACACUGAGGCGCGACAGCGUGGGGAGCAAACAGG
rnacentral:rRNA from 1 species